CAGGCCUAACACAUGCAAGUCGAGCGGAAACGACAGUAUUGAAGCUUCGGUGGAUUUACUGGACGUCGAGCGGCGGACGGGUGAGUAACGGCUGGGAACCUGCCCUGACGAGGGGGAUAACCGUUGGAAACGACGGCUAAUACCGCAUAAUGUCUUAGUUCAUUACGAGCUGGGACCAAAGGUGGCCUCUACAUGUAAGCUAUCGCGUUGGGAUGGGCCCAGUUAGGAUUAGCUAAUUGGUAAGGUAAUGGCUUACCAAGGCAACGAUCCUUAGCUGGUUUGAGAGGAUGAUCAGCCACACUGGGACUGAGACACGGCCCAGACUCCUACGGGAGGCAGCAGUGGGGAAUAUUGCACAAUGGGGGAGACCCUGAUGCAGCCAUGCCGCGUGUGUGAAGAAGGCCUUCGGGUUGUAAAGCACUUUCAGCAGUGAGGAAGGUCGUGUACUUAAUACGUGCACGGCUUGACGUUAGCUGCAGAAGAAGCACCGGCUAACUCCGUGCCAGCAGCCGCGGUAAUACGGAGGGUGCGAGCGUUAAUCAGAAUUACUGGGCGUAAAGCGCAUGCAGGCGGUUCGUUAAGUCAGAUGUGAAAGCCCGGGGCUCAACCUCGGAACCGCAUUUGAAACUGGCAGGCUAGAGUCUUGUAG
rnacentral:rRNA from 1 species